AUCAACUUUCGAUGGUAGGAUAGAGGCCUACCAUGGUGGUAACGGGUAACGGGGUGUUAGGGCACGACACCGGAGAGGGAGCCUGAGAAACGGCUACCACAUCCAAGGAUGGCAGCAGGCGCGCAAAUUACCCAAUCCCGACACGGGGAGGUAGUGACAAUAAAUAACAAUACGGGGUUCUUUCGGAUCUCGUAAUUGGAAUGAGUACAAUUUAAAUCUCUUAACGAGGAACAAUUGGAGGGCAAGUCUGGUGCCAGCAGCCGCGGUAAUUCCAGCUCCAAUAGCGUAUAUUAAAGUUGUUGCAGUUAAAAAGCUCGUAGUUGAAUUUCGGGGUUAGUAGGCUGGUCAUGCCUCUGGUAUGUACUGGUCUCACUGAUUCCUCCUUCCUGAUGAACCGUAAUGCCAUUAAUUUGGUGUUGCGGGGAAUUUGGACUGUUACUUUGAAAAGAUUAGAGUGUUUAAAGCAAGCUAACGCUUGAAUACAUUAGCAUGGAAUAAUGAAAUAGGACGUUCGAUCCUAUUUUGUUGGUUUCUAGGAUUGACGUAAUGAUUAAUAGGGAUAGUUGGGGGCAUUAGUAUUCAAUUGUCAGAGGUGAAAUUCUUGGAUUUAUUGAAGACUAACUACUGCGAAAGCAUUUGCCAAGGAUGUUUUCAUUAAUCAAGAACGAAAGUUAGGGGAUCGAAGACGAUCAGAUACCGUCGUAGUCUUAACCAUAAACUAUGCCGACUAGGGAUCGGAUGAUGUUAAUUUUUUAAUGACUCAUUCGGCGCCUUACGGGAAACCAAAGUGUUUGGGUUC
rnacentral:rRNA from 1 species